GGUUUCUAGGACCGCCGUAAUGAUUAAUAGGGAUAGUUGGGGGCAUCAGUAUUCAAUUGUCAGAGGUGAAAUUCUUGGAUUUAUUGAAGACUAACUACUGCGAAAGCAUUUGCCAAAGAUGUUUUCAUUAAUCAGGAACGAAAGUUAGGGGAUCGAAGACGAUCAGAUACCGUCGUAGUCUUAACCGUAAACUAUGCCGACUAGGGAUCGGGUGGUGUUUUUAUUAUGACUCACUCGGCACCUUACGAGAAAUCAAAGUUUUUGGGUUCUGGGGGGAGUAUGGUCGCAAGGCUGAAACUUAAAGAAGUUGACGGAAGGGCACCACCAGGCGUGGAGCCUGCGGCUUAAUUUGACUCAACACGGGGAAACUCACCAGGUCCAGACACAACUAGGAUUGACAGAUUGAGAGCUCUUUCUUGAUUUUGUGGGUGGUGGUGCAUGGCCGUUCUUAGUUGGUGGAGUGAUUUGUCUGCUUAAUUGCGAUAACGAACGAGACCUUAACCUGCUAAAUAGCCCAACUGGCUUUGGCUGGCUGCUGGCUUCUUAGAGGGACAUUCGGCUCAAGCCGACGGAAGUUUGAGGCAAUAACAGGUCUGUUAUGCCCUUAGAUGUUCUGGGCCGCACGCGCGCUACACUGACAGAGCCAGCGGGUUUUUUUCCUUAACUGAAAAGUUUGGGUAAACCUAGAAAUUUGCCAU
rnacentral:rRNA from 1 species